CUUUAUGGCAGCUGUACGUGGGAGAUCUUCGGAUCUGCCGGGUUUUCUUAGCUUUGACCGGUUCGCCAACCCGCGUACAGCGGCCACCUGU
rnacentral:antisense_RNA from 1 species